rnacentral:rRNA from 1 species
UACGUAGGGUGCAAGCGUUGUCCGGAAUUAUUGGGCGUAAAGAGCUUGUAGGCGGUUUGUCGCGUCUGCUGUGAAAUUUCGGGGCUCAACCCCGAACUUGCAGUGGGUACGGGCAGACUAGAGUGUGGUAGGGGAGACUGGAAUUCCUGGUGUAGCGGUGAAAAUGCGCAGAUAUCAGGAGGAACACCGGUGGCGAAGGCGGGUCUCUGGGCCGAUACUGACGCUGAGGAGCGAAAGCGUGGGGAGCGAACAGG